CCUGCCAUUAUCGGCGUCGGCACAUGUUCGUGUGCAUUAUGACAAAAAAGAUCAUGUCUGUUUUUAAAAGUAAAUAGUGGAAACAUGGGUAGAAUCGUUUAGUUUUUAUUUGGUAACAGUGGCCUUAUUACAGGUAGGCUUAGACAUAAUGCUUUGGAAUGUUUCCCUUCAGUAACAAAUGGGCUAGGCCCAGUGUUUUUGUAACCCUGUUCACUUAAGAAAGAGUUGCAGCUUUCAUCAAAGAAACUGAUGAUCUAAAAGUUGAGACUGCAUGGAUGACCUAGGCUGCUUUGUCUGGACGAAAAUGAACCCUCCAAGGCUCCUACAGCCUCAUCACACAGAAACUCGAGGAACCGGAAGCAGGGAGGAGGACCGACAGAUGAACGGAUGACCUGCUUGCUGGGCUACCCAUUACUGAUUCUUGAGAAAAAUGAGGACCACUGACUGAUGACGGAAUUGCUUUACUGAGAUUGACGAGCCUGCCUCGAGACAUCGUCAGGGCUCCAUCAGCCUUAUCAAACAGAAACUCGAGGAACCGGAAGCAGGGAGGAGGACCGACAGAUGAACGGAUGACCUGCUUGUUGGGCUUCCCAUUCCUGAUUAUUAGAAAAAUGAGGACUACUGACUGAUGACGGAAUUGCUUUACUGAGAUUGAUGAGCCUGCCUCAAGACAUCGUCAGGGCUCCAUCAGCCUUA